UAUUCUGCCCCAUGGGGAAGGAUGAGAAGCUUCGACUAAGGUUCGACUCGAGCGCCAGCGAGAGAACGUUGCCGCAGGCAACGGCCCGAAGGGCGAGGCGCUUUAGCGCCGAGUAAUCCUUCCACCACCACCA
rnacentral:sRNA from 1 species